UGGGGUUUAGCUUAGUGGCAAAGCACUUGCCUAAUAGGCAGGAGGCCCUGGGUUUAAUCCCUAGUACCUCAA
rnacentral:tRNA from 1 species